AAGACCUUGCGCUUUUGGAGCGGCCGAUGCCUGAUUAGCUUGUUGGUAAGGUAAAAGCUUACCAAGGCUUCGAUCAGUAGCUGGUCUGAGAGGACGWCCAGCCACACUGGGACUGAGACACGGCCCAGACUCCUACGGGAGGCAGCAGUGGGGAAUUUUGGACAAUGGGGGCAACCCUGAUCCAGCCAUGCCGCGUGAGUGAAGAAGGCCUUCGGGUUGUAAAGCUCUUUCAGCCGGAACGAAACGGUUACGGUUAAUACCCGUGACUACUGACGGUACCGGAAGAAGAAGCACCGGCUAACUACGUGCCAGCAGCCGCGGUAAUACGUAGGGUGCGAGCGUUAAUCGGAAUUACUGGGCGUAAAGCGUGCGCAGGUGGUUUUGUAAGUCAGAUGUGAAAGCCCCGGGCUCAACCUGGGAACU
rnacentral:rRNA from 1 species